rnacentral:tRNA from 1 species
UCCCUGGUGACUCAGAGGUUAAAGCGUCUGCCUGGAAUGCAGGAGACCCAGGUUCGAUCCCUGGGUCGAGAA